ACGAACGCUGGCGGCGUGUUUAACACAUGCAAGUCGAACGGAAAGGCCCUUCGGGGUACUCGAGUGGCGAACGGGUGAGUACCACGUGGGUGAUCUGCCCUGCACUUUGGGAUAAGCCUGGGAAACUGGGUCUAAUACCGGAUAGGACCACGGCAUUCAUGUGCUGUGGUGGAAAGCUUUUGCGGUGUGGGAUGGGCCCGCGGCCUAUCAGCUUGUUGGUGGGGUAAUGGCCUACCAAGGCGACGACGGGUAGCCGGCCUGAGAGGGUGACCGGCCACACUGGGACUGAGAUACGGCCCAGACUCCUACGGGAGGCAGCAGUGGGGAAUAUUGCACAAUGGGCGCAAGCCUGAUGCAGCGACGCCGCGUGAGGGAUGACGGCCUUCGGGUUGUAAACCUCUUUCGCCAGGGACGAAGCGCAAGUGACGGUACCUGGAGAAGAAGGACCGGCCAACUACGUG
rnacentral:rRNA from 1 species